CGGACGGGUGAGUAAUGUCUGGGAAACUGCCUGAUGGAGGGGGAUAACUACUGGAAACGGUAGCUAAUACCGCAUAAUGUCGCAAGACCAAAGAGGGGGACCUUCGGGCCUCUUGCCAUCGGAUGUGCCCAGAUGGGAUUAGCUUGUUGGUGGGGUAAUGGCUCACCUAGGCGACGAUCCCUAGCUGGUCUGAGAGGAUGACCAGCCACACUGGAACUGAGACACGGUCCAGACUCCUACGGGAGGCAGCAUG
rnacentral:rRNA from 1 species